GGGAGGUCCAGGAGGAUGGUGUCUGAUGAGAACCGUUUUCUCUGAGAGGCUGCUAUCACAUGCUGGCACAGCCUUCCUCUUGCUGAUGACCGGGUUCCUGUUUGAUCCUGUUUACAAGCUUCCCAAGACUGAAAACAGCCCCAGCUCCUCUGCACUGGCCCUUGGAAGCAGGAGGAAGUAAAGAGGAGCUGAGAAUUGAAGCUGGAGACUGGGCAGCUAAUUCAGAGGCAGCAGUUGUGUGAGCAGCCCCUGGGCAAGAGGACUGAGUGCAGCUGGUGACAGAACUGAGUGGAGAUGAUCCCCAGCUGAAAGCCAGAACAGGAUCUGCUUUCGAGUUCACCGAGCCACCUGCAGUCCCAUUCCAGCCCCUGGCACAGGUA
rnacentral:lncRNA from 1 species